GGGUCCAAGUAAGACAGGUCCGGGUCCAGGAAGGUCUAUAAAAGGGAGAUGGAGAAAGACGUCAGAGAAACACUCAGGAACACAGGGAGCUCAACAAGAGACUAAGCUGGGCUACACUAACCCUAGUGAGUACAACGCUCCAGCGAGGAACACCACUCCAACCAGGCCUUAAGUAUGGUGAUGAGGCGUGAUGUGCGUGUGCGUGAAGAUCAGUUGACCACUGCAAGGCAGGCACCGCACCCCAGGACAGCCACUUGUGGAUCAUGAAACCUGUGGUGUGAAACUGCCAUCAGGUCCUACAAGUCCUGCAUUUAAAAUAAUGCCCCACAUUUGAGUUAUCAGCAAGCGUAGCCUCAAGCUGCAGCUGGAGCGAGCAGCAGAAGUCUGCUACAAACAAUCAGACGUUGGUGCUGAUUCCUGGAAGACACCACAGACAAGAUGACCAGAGAGCCUGCACUUCAAAGCAGGGGAUGAAGUGUUUUACAUACGAACUAGCAGAGGACUCAUAAAACCACAGCACCCUGCAGUGCGUUACUCAGACUGCUCUGCUCGUUUACUUCAUAAGGCAGAGCUGCCUGACUGCAUAUGCUGAUUAAUGCCCCACGACGACUCUGC